rnacentral:lncRNA from 1 species
UGACCCUCGUGGGAAGCCCGACCGUGUUUCCUCCGGAAUAACCAAGACCCAAACCCUCAAAGUCAAGAGGCCACCGUCCCCGCUGCAUAGAGAGUGCCCGUCGUCCACCCGGAAGUCGGGGGCUUGUGGGGAAGGAUCCUUCCAGCCGCCCUGGUGCGGAAGACGUCCUGGGCUGCCUUCACAGGGGAAGGAGAGGCCCGGAGAGGCCCGAAGGCAUCUGCCGUCCUACCAGGUGCCCCAGGUGCUCAGGUCCCCUGGACUCACCCUGGACACCCAGACCACCUGGAACCCGUCCUCUUGCAGACUGACAUCUCUCCUUAAACCUGCUCUCCCGCCCUGGGGACAGGGACUCGCUGAGUUGCUCAGUGCCACGCUUUUGCCGAGGCUGGCUUUGAACUUGUGAUGCUCAUGUCUCAGCCUCCUGAGCCACUAGGAUGACAGGUGUGUGCCACCGCACCCCGCCUGGUUUGUGAACUUCUUUUUGAGAUGCCUGGAGUAGUUGUUUGGUGUUUCUGAGUUAUUAAACUCAGCAGUUAUGCACUUGAUGUAAU